AGAGUUUGAUCAUGGCUCAGGAUGAACGUUGGCGGCGUGCCUAAUACAUGCAAGUCGAACGAAGACUGUAGUAAUACUGUCUUAGUGGCGAACGGGUGAGUAACGCGUGGGUGACCUGCCCCGAAGUGUGGGAUAACAGUUCGAAAGAACUGCUAAUACCGCAUAACAUCCAAGAGAUUAGACGCUUUUGGAUUAAAGGAGUAAUUCGCUUCGGGAGGGGCCCGCGUCCCAUCAGCUAGUUGGUAAGGUAAUGGCUUACCAAGGCGAUGACGGGUAGGGGACCUGAGAGGGUGGCCCCCCACAAUGGAACUGAAACACGGUCCAUACACCUACGGGUGGCAGCAGUAGGGAAUAUUAGUAAUGGGCGAAAGCCUGAACUAGCAACGCCGCGUGUGCGAAGAAGGCCUUCGGGUUGUAAAGCACUUUUUGAGAGGAUGAGGAAGGACGGUACUCUCAGAAUAAGUCUCGGCUAACUACGUGCCAGCAGCCGCGGUAACACGUAGGAGGCAAACGUUAUCCGGAUUUACUGGGCGUAAAGCGCGUGUAGGUGGUUUGGUAAGUAGGGCGUGAAAGCUCCUGGCUCAACUGGGAGAGGACGUCCUAAACUGCCAAGCUUGAGGAUGGUAGAGGGAGGUGGAAUUCCGGGUGUAGCGGUGGAAUGCGCAGAUAUCCGGAGGAACACCAGUGGCGAAGGCGGCCUCCUGGACCACUCCUGACACUCAGACGCGAAAGCUAGGGUAGCAAACGGGAUUAGAGACCCCGGUAGUCCUAGCCCUAAACGAUGUAGACUUGGCGUCGGUGGUUUAAUCGCCAUCGGUGUCGUAGCUAACGCGUUAAGUCUACCGCCUGGGGACUACGGCCGCAAGGUUAAAACUCAAAUGAAUUGACGG
rnacentral:rRNA from 1 species